CCUACGGGGAGCUGCAGUGGGGAAUAUUGGACAAUGGGCGAAAGCCUGAUCCAGCCAUGCCGCGUGUGUGAAGAAGGCCUUCGGGUUGUAAAGCACUUUCAGUGGGGAAGAAAGCCUUGGGGCUAAUACCCUCGAGGAAGGACAUCACCCACAGAAGAAGCACCGGCUAACUCCGUGCCAGCAGCCGCGGUAAUACGGAGGGUGCGAGCGUUAAUCGGAAUUACUGGGCGUAAAGCGCGCGUAGGCGGUCUGAUAAGCCGGUUGUGAAAGCCCCGGGCUCAACCUGGGAACGGCAUCCGGAACUGUCAGGCUAGAGUGCAGGAGAGGAAGGUAGAAUUCCCGGUGUAGCGGUGAAAUGCGUAGAGAUCGGGAGGAAUACCAGUGGCGAAGGCGGCCUUCUGGACUGACACUGACGCUGAGGUGCGAAAGCGUGGGUAGCAAACAGGAUUAGAUACCGAGUAGUC
rnacentral:rRNA from 1 species